CAGCAGUAGUUCUGUAAAGACUUAAGUAUUUUUUUAUCCCAUUAUAAGAAGCAGGUGAGAUCUAGCCUAUCGUUUAGGCCUUGUGGGGUUAAGGUCUUCAAUUUGUGGAUCCAAAAAGCCUCCCUGCAGAGGAGUAACUUCUUGAUGUCAGUGUUAAUUGGAGUCUGUAGUUUUUCUAAGGCAAGGUACUUAAGGUCGUUACAGGAAUGAGUGUUGUCUUUAAAGUGAAAUCCAGGAGGCGAAGAUGGAAGGAAAACAUGUCCAUCACAUCGAGAGACAUUGGCAGCUCGACAGGGAGUGGAGCCUAGAAAGGCACCAGCCGUUUAUGGCAGAGAAGGCCGGGAUGAAGCCAUCGAGGAACUACAACUCCCAGCACUCCAUGGCUCUGAGCCACGGCAGUCAAAGGGGUGCCAAACCGCAUUCGUUCCCCAGUGCGGAUGCCCCCCAAGUUGCCAAAGACUCCAAUGCAAGUGCGACGUUGACACUCUCGCCUCCUCCACGAAGGAACGCCUUUCCUCGGGGGAACAAUAAUUAAUAUAUUCAUCAGGAAAUGUUUAAUGUUAGGCUUUCAAUUUUUCAAGACAUGUUUGAAGGAUAGAACUGCAAUCAAGAAGCGAUAUUAAAAACAAAUCCCAGAUGAUCCCGCGGCUCCGCAGCACAGAUGCCGGGAAACCGGAUUCCCCGUUUUGAUGAAAUAUUUCUUUUUGGCAUUAGAGAGUGGCCGGGGCCCAAUCUCGCCCUCGUUCUGACUGUGUUCUUCCAUUCCUUAUUCUGGUUGAGAUGGAAAGGCCUUUGUUACAGCUCAUUGGGAUGGGGAGCGAUGGGAGCGCCGUCCCCUUCAGCUCCUUGGGAGGGGAGUUUGCCCAGAUUCACAAUGGCCUCCAUCUUGGGGUGCAAAGAACGUGGAAUGAGUUCUUUUGGCAAAAAUUAUGGGAAAUGGAAACCCAAUUGAUCCCAUAUAUCUAUUUAAACCCAUUACAAGAGGGGCUUCUGUUCUGUUCAAAGCCUGAGGCCAAGAGACAGAGCAAAACUCCUAGGAAGCUGGGUCAAGAGAUAAUAAAUAAGUGCCACAAAUGCCACAAAUAAAUAAAUACACAAAUAAAGGUAAAGAUAAAGGUU